UCGAGUGAAGGGUUUUUCCAUUCGUGGAGCCCGAUCUCCCAACCCUUGUAUCCUUAACCGAUUUGCUUUGGCGGACCCGUCACUGGUUGUGACCGCCAGAGGGAUCCUUUCCCUCGGGCCCGUGUCCGCCAGAGACACAUGAACGCUUGUUAUGAAAUUAAGCUGUCUGAGUAAUACGAAAAAUAAAUCA
rnacentral:misc_RNA from 1 species